AUCAUCUCUAGGGAGGCCAUUCGCCUGAUAAGACCCCAGCUACCCCCGAAAGGAAAGUGAGUUUGCAAUAACCCAGCCACUUUCUUUUCUGGUACAACUUCCUCGUGCCCACUCCCUUCUGCCUAUAGAAGUCCUUCCUGUUGCACACUCCUUGGAGCUCCUUUCCACCUGCUGGAUGGAAUGCUGCCCAACUCACGCAUCACUAAAUAAAACCAAUAAGAUCUAUAAAAUUUUCUCGGUGGAAUUUUGCUUUUUAAUGCCCCAGAAUUAUUUUUUAAAUCUCCACUAUUUGGCAGACUCAAAAGAAUGCACCUCCUUGUCAGAAAGUAGUUUAGAAAAAGGAGCAAAGGGCCUCCGAGAAUGUUUGCAGCUGUAGGCGUUCCUGGGGAGAGCAGACGCCCAGCCCAGGAGGGGCACGUUCGUGCACGAGCUCCCAUCACAUCACUUUACUGUUACGGAAUUUCCGUCCUGGCUCCCUAACUGUUUGACACCUUCUGGGGGGAAUAAGAGGAACAGGGACUCAAGAAAACACCAGUGCCGGUGAUGGGUAUUAAGGAGGGCAUGUACUGCAUGGAGCACUUGGUGUUAUAUGCAAACGAUGAAUCAUGGAACACAACAUCAUGGUGACUAACAUAAUAAAAAAUUAAAGAAAAAACCACACCAGUGGUGCUUCCCAGGGGCACCUAGUCACGUUGGCAGGUACGUUGCUGAGUAUUAAGAAAGGACACGGCGCAGAGUCUCCUGCCUCACGGUUCUGUGAGAUGACUGGGCAGAAAUGAGACAAACUCAGGAAGAGAAUUGCAUGAAAAGCAAAACAAAACCGUACCCAAAAAACCCAGACAUUUCCUACUGUUUAAUUGACCUCAAGGAGGAAAAACCCAGCUUCACAAAAACUUAGACAUGUUUCAUUUUAUUGGGUACAAAACCAAGCAUACAAUAAUUAUAAGAGAAAUAACAAACAUGCUCGAUGGGGUCAGGCCAUUUGAAAUGGGCCUCUGUAUACGGACAUGAAUAAAUCAUAAAUACUGCCUCUCUGUGACCUUGAAACACAGUACCACCUAGAGUUUUCUAUUUUUAACUACUUGAGUAAGUGAAAUAGUAAGAGAAAACAGACAGUAUUUGAAUCAUGAAAGGUAGAGACUGUUCCGUCUUUCUGGAAACUAGCCUACUGGCUUGGGAACCAGGACAAGCCUUCCUCCUUUCAGCCCGUUGCUGCCAUGAGACCAACGAUGCCCCUGUCUGUGUCGACACCGGCACCCGCUCUGCCCUGCCCGUCAGUCAUGAACCUUCAGCCGGCGUGGUCCUUACAGAGUUGAGAAAUAGUCUCAGCCUAAGGAACCUUGGCUAACACGGACAGGUUUUUGCAGUCUGUUCUUGGAUGUUUUUACAACUUUUUCUGUUAACUGAUUCUAAACCUGCAGGUGUUCUUAACUUUCUCUACACUUUUUUUUUUAAACCUUGGAUUAUUUAAGUUGGUUUAAACACAACAUGUAGGUCAACAACUCCCAGAGAUGAGAGGCACUUCUCUGAAGACAGUGACAUGUCCCCAGACUGGCAGGACACUGGGUGGCUUGGACGUGACCAACUACAGCAGGCCAGGACUCCACUCUCGGGCGCCGUCUGCGGGACACGGCAGGAUUCUUGUCUGCAGCAUUUAGAACAUGAGGCUGUGUUGGGGUGGGUAUCAGAAAUCGUGGGGAUGAAAUUGUGCUUAUGUUCUCUAGUGAGCCCCUGCUGGUCCUCAGCAGCUCUGAUCCAAUCGCAAGAAUCCUGGUUAAAAUAAACCGUCAACCUGAGGCAAAAAUGUGAAUAGGCAAAGUCUAUUUUUUCAGGCUUUUAAAACUUGUAACAUGUGACAUUAUAACUGUUCCCCAAAUUAGGCAACGGACUUCAAUUCAGAGAGCAAGGAACAAAUGUGACAUCCGAGGCACCGCCUCUCAAUUUCUUAAUCAGGAUGGUCUUUGGCUCAGACAUCCACAAGGCAAAGUGAACACGGGACCUCCACCCUGCAGGGCCUCCGAGAGGACCCACGCACAGCAUUCCUGGAGAAGGCAGCAGCUCAGCGGAAAUCCCUUAGUAUUAAUAACGGGGGUGUGUACAUGAUGUGCUUACAGAGAUUCAUGGGCCCUGAAAUGUCCUAAAGAGCUGCGUAAACAUCGUAGCCACAAAAGCAUCAUGAAUGAGGGGCAGCGCCGGCUGGUAUAAAGGACUCAUCCAUCUGCGCUCACGAGGAGCAGUGCAGGCGAAAGACACGGGACGCCACGUGGAGACCACAGAUGGGUGAAGUCGGGGCAGCGCUAGGGUUUCAAACCGCAGUGCGAAAACCGAGUAGAGGAGUUACAAUAUAACUGAGAACUAGGGAAGCAAGGCGUCUUUGUCCAUAUAAAAAAGUACAGGAUCUUAGUGUAAGAGCGCGCUCUCUCCAGUAGGGUGGUGUGAAAGGUAAAGAAUGUAAGACAGAAUCUGUGAAAAUCUAGAAAUAAAGUCUUGGGAGAAAAGAAAACAGCCAUAAAAAUCUGUGUAUGUUGUUCCAUAUUGAUAAAGUCAGAUUUUAAAAUGGGAUCUCAACAUUUAACUGUGUGCAUUAUUUCAUUUACAAAUGUCCUCAUCCUAUUAACUGAAGGGCCUUGGAUGACAUUGUCUGCUCUGUGAAGUCUGAAAGCUAGAACGCAUUUUCACAUGAAAAGUACCAAGUUCUUACUUUGCCCUAAAAGUGAAAAAAUAGAAACAUGUAUGGAUGAAAACAAAUAAUCAUUUAAAGAGAUAAAAUUGGCUACAGUCAUUAAAACAUACUGUAUAUCCAGUGGUCAACCAAAGGUUUUAAAGAUAUUUACAGUAUCAGCAGAAACCUCCUAGCGAGACUAAAGGCACACGUAGACCUCGCUUAGUGGUGGUUAAAUAAGAAGCAUCUAGAACAGAUGGGGAGCCAUGACCCGGUGAGAAUAAGAAGACACUCUCCCGUCCAUCUGGAAAUGUGUCCUCACCCCUCUGCCCUGAAGCAAGGUGAUAAAAUCCUGCUCUUGCCAAGUAAAAGAUUAUGUCGGCUACAGACCACAGGACCCAGGUCCCAAAUCAGUAUGUGAUGACAGUGACAGUCACAGUGCUUUCGUGUGUAUCUGUGAUGGCAGGCCUUCCAUGUACAAACUCGAAGUGGUGGCUUUACUGUGUGUGCACCUUUUCCAGAAGCCAUACAUAUGUCAGAAACUCUCAGGUGCCGAACGUUCCACUCUUGGCUCCCACCAAGCAGGAACGGUCCCGCUGAGACCCACUGACUCGCACCUGGACCAAGUCUGGGCACUGCUUUAACCUCAGGGUGGAGAACACCAAGGUGGACUUCACCACCACCUCUGAGUUUAAAAUGCCUUGGGGAAAAAAAAAAAGGAAGGAAGGAAGGAAAGAAAAAGAAAGAAAGAGGAAGAAAGAAAGAAGAAGAAAGAAAGAAAAACAAACAAACCACCAUGACAGUAUUAGAUCCCAUUGUCUGGAAAGAGCAGCAGCUCAGUGUUGCAUGACUUUGCUCCCAGGAGCGGCUCCCGAACUGAGGAAGAGCUGGAGCCUCUCCUGGGCCUGAAGUAGACAGAACUUCUGUUUGGACAGUUGAGGAGGAGGACACCAAGAACCCUGUUUCAAAUGUUUCGGAUUCUACGCAGUUGCAAACGGACACAGAGGUCUGGCUGUGAUUAAACAAACAGGCUCCUCCGGCUGCAGUCUGCGUGUCCCUGGGAGGAGCAACGGGCCACGCCGGGCUCUAGUCAAGAAACACUGCAGGACGCAGGUGCCAAAAGGAGGUGCAUGGGUUCUGUCUGAUAUCAAAUAGUACCACUUAAGAAAAACACUGACAUUCCUUCAAGUGCUUAUAAUUUUAGACCAGUCAUGUAUACUUUAAAAAAAGAAAGAAAGAAAGAAAGAAAGAAAGAAAGAAAGAAAGAAAGAAAGAAAGAAAGAAAGAAAGAAACCACCAGUUUGGAGAAAAUCUGUCGUAAACUCUCAAUCUGUUCUGCUAUUGAUGAAGUGCUUAAUGACACCAGCGAGUAAAAGCCACAGCCUUCUUUUUCAAGGCUGUUUUCCAUGAAAAGUAAACAAGGUGUAAGAUGCAAGUUUUAUACAACUUAAUCACCAAUUGUUGGUGAUUCUGAGCCCUCUAAAAUCUUAAUAUGAAAGAGUGUAGCACAGACAACCUGUACCUCAAAUCAAAAGCUUAUUAAAGUAUUUUCAAAUAGGAAACACACUCAGGAAAACCGUGUUUAAAAGGAGAGAGAAAAAAUCAUGUGGUGCCUUAAAAAAGAGUAUGAAUGAAAACAUAGGAUUACUGCUGUCUCGUGAAUAGCAGAGAAAUGGGAAUGACGACCAGCAGAGCAACUGGUUACCCCCAGGGGGAUUUACUCUGAGGCAGGAUCUCCAAUCAGAGUUGAAAAUAUUUUCUUUUCUGUGUACUUACCCAAAACAUAGCAUCUCACUAGGAUUCAUAAUACUUCUCAGGAACAUAGGUCAGGUAGGAUAAAAGAAAAUGAGUGGUCAACAUGCUUUCUGGAAACCUCAGAGGGUCACUGGUCCAGGGGUUUCUACCACAGUAAGCAAUCAUUUGAAAAUAUGUGCUUCCUUAAUAAAUAUGGAAGAUGUUGAAUCAUGGCCAAUAGCUAACAUGUGCUCAGUAUAUGUUGAAGAAAUGGAUAAAGGAAUUGUCCUUAUUUGGAACUCAUGACCAAUCCUCUUAUAACUUCUGUUGACUCUGUCAGUGCACAUCAAUAAAAGUGAUUAUCGGCAUCCUUUUUUAUAAAAAAAGGAAACAAACCUACAAGGGUGAUUAAGGGCCUUACCCAAAAUGAUAGACUCUGCUAACAGUGGCAGAAUUUUGACCUCUGGAAUUUUUACUAACUUGUAAUGUUUAAAACCACUUUGCCCACUCAUUUCUGCUGGAUAAAAAAUAUAAAUACAUAUUUCUUAUCCACAGACAUUAUUUUUUUUUCCAGCCACACAUAAUCAGCCUGGAGAACUGAUAUAAUGUGACUUCUGCAAGAUAAAGCAAUUAAAAUCACUUACGUGCUUUUCUGAUGAGAUUUCAUCACCCUAUUCCCUGUCUUGAAAAAAUCAGAUGGCUGAUCAUCUUCUAGGGUUCGAAGGACUGUCUAAAACACAGACAUGGAGUA